AUGUCUUCUUCUGGUAACCGUGCAAGUCCAUCACUGCGCAUGAAGUUCACAGGAUUGUUCUACGUUUGGUUUUGCAGGGAAGUAGGAAGAGUGAUGCUCACAAGUUGUCCUCACCGUCUGGCUUGGCCAAAAGACCUCUGUGAGUCCAACAGCGUCGUCAUGCGACAAGGACAAGGAGAGGCAAGUCCACCUAGGUGUUACACGGGGACGCUGUCAUCACAGGGAAACUCCAGUUCACCUGCCUCCACUUCCAUAUCUGCAAAAUGCAGGUAACAACAGCUACAUCAGGGGCCUUAAGGGGGUUCAGGAAACGGGGCACUUACGUCAGGUAGCAUACGGGUACCUAAUACAGUUUCAGAAUUGUAGAAGAUAGGGCUGCCGGUAGCACUUGCAAUAUGUUAUUAUGGAAAAAGACUGUCAAGGGAAAUCAGAGAAUUAACAGGAGAGUAUUUAAAUGAAUCGAAGUGUUAGAAAAUGAAACCAUCAGGAUUUCACAACACAUGCAUUGGCCUUAGAAAGGGACAGGCAUCUUAUUAGGGAGACGUGGUGCAAGGUCUCAGAGAGAUUUCUUAGCAAUAUGCAGUUGCCAACACAAGCAGCAGCUUCACUGUGGAGUUACUCACCAUAAUGGGGAGAGCAUUUGAGCUUAUGCAUUAUUCACAUUUUUCUGAAUCGGAACUAAGCAAUGAAAAAUAAUGAAAGGGAGAAGCUUGUAAUAGAUUUUUUUUUAAGCUGGUACAGGCCUGUGUUAAAUCGAUGCACCUCUGCUGCACGAGAGCCCGUGUGAGCAUUAUGAUUCUGUCCAUUUCUUUUGGGGAAAAGGUAACAGAUUUUCCUACUUUGGAGACUGAUUUUCCUACUACCUUAAUUAUUUUUUUCUUUAGGAAAAAAAAAAAAGGGCACAAAAUCCAUCCAAUGGGACUCAACAACUUUCAUAGGUUUUUUUGCCAAUUUAAUUGGCAGAAAUUUACAUAAGCUGCUGUGUUGUGUUCUCUGAAGCCCAGGUUCAGUUUCUACAAAGGAUUUAAAUUCGUAGCUAUUUUUCUGCAGGGUAUUUUUUAUCUGACAAACUCCGUGGCCGAUGUUGCUCCUGUGGGCACCAACAGGACUGAAAAUGGUGACAUCCAUCCCUUGUUUGCUGGCUCUGCCCGGAUAUUGUUUACAACCCCCUUUGCAACCCGUAGCUGAGCCCAGUCAACUUGAAAGCUUUGUCUCCUUUGGCCACAUGUCUGUGAGGCCCACAUCUUAGUUUUCCUUCGGAGCUUCCCCUACAACCCACUUCUCCUUGCCAGGAUUCUGAGGCAGGGUAGGUUCACUGCUCAACAAAUCUCCCAUACCCGGAAGAAUUUUAUCCAUUUAUCAGUUAUAUACUAUGGUCUUAUUAUACGCCCAACUCUGCACAGAUUAAGUAGAAGAGGAGGAUUUGGUCCCACCUCUGCUAAAGAGGAGAAGCAAUAUAUCUGUCUAGAGAGAUAAAGGGAGAGAAGAUGUAGUACGUUUCUCUAGUGACCCUAUGAUCCCACUUCUAGGAAUCUUCCUAAAGUCGCAUCUCUGGCACUAUCAAAAUGCAUGUUCAGAAAGCUUUUCAUUUGAGCCUUCAUUGUAAUCACAAAACAUCAGAAACAAUCUCAGUGCUCCUACCUGGGAAGCAACUUGACACAUCCAAAAUUAGAGUACUAGGCUGCUACAAAAAAAGAGUGAUGUAGAUCUCUGUGAACUUAUGUGGAAUGAUUUCCAUGUGGUAUUGUUAAAUGUAGAAAGCAAAGUAUGAUAAAUUGCCAUAUUGUUCCACCUUUAUCAUGAAAAGAAGAAAUACAAAAUAAAAAUAAAUGUGCAAGCA
rnacentral:lncRNA from 12 species